ACGGGAGGCAGCAGUAGGGAAUCUUCCACAAUGGGCGAAAGCCUGAUGGAGCAACGCCGCGUGAGUGAAGAAGGUUUUCGGAUCGUAAAACUCUGUUGUAAGGGAAGAACAAGUACAGUAGUAACUGGCUGUACCUUGACGGUACCUUAUUAGAAAGCCACGGCUAACUACGUGCCAGCAGCCGCGGUAAUACGUAGGUGGCAAGCGUUGUCCGGAAUUAUUGGGCGUAAAGCGCGCGCAGGCGGUCCUUUAAGUCUGAUGUGAAAGCCCACGGCUCAACCGUGGAGGGUCAUUGGAAACUGGGGGACUUGAGUGCAGAAGAGGAAAGUGGAAUUCCAAGUGUAGCGGUGAAAUGCGUAGAGAUUUGGAGGAACACCAGUGGCGAAGGCGACUUUCUGGUCUGUAACUGACGCUGAGGCGCGAAAGCGUGGGGAGCAAACAGGAUUAGAUACCCUGGUA
rnacentral:rRNA from 1 species